CCCAAAUCUUCUCACGUACAAAUAUUUGGACACAUCAUGGAGUUUGGGUUGAAGCACAACUAUGUCCAUGAGGUUAGCUUAUACUGUAUGAAUUAUUACACAUCCUGUCAGUUUGCAACAUCAUCCCAGGUCAACCUUCUCUCAUUGGGGGUGCCAAGGUUGUCUCUGUCCGUUCAUGUCAUCAUGCAGCUAAAGCUUUGGAUUUGGUAGCCGCUUCUAGAGGCAAAACUACAAAGAUUGGUGUGGCCUGGAGGUCGCAAUGAGUUGCACGGAAGAGAAGAUGUCCUUGAGAAAUGUGGCGACAAGGGCGCCCGUGUUGGGUUGUAGGUAUCGCUGGUCAUAUAGUUUUUGCUGUUACUUCGGAGCUGGUUCGUAUUGUAUUCUUGAUGGUUUUCCUUGCUAAUCAUUUGU